GGGCAGGAGGCUACCUGCAGUCGACGGGUACAGGGAGAGCUUGCUUCUUGGCUGACGAGUGGCGGACGGGUGAGUAAUGUCUGGGAAUCUGCCUGAUGGAGGGGGAUAACUACUGGAAACGGUAGCUAAUACCGCAUAAUGUCUCCGGACCAAAGAGGGGGACCUUCGGGCCUCGCGCCAUCGGAUGAGCCCAUAUGGGAUUAGCUAGUAGGUGGGGUAACGGCUCACCUAGGCGACGAUCCCUAGCUGGUCUGAGAGGAUGAUCAGCCACACUGGAACUGAGACACGGUCCAGACUCCUACGGGAGGCAGCAGUGGGGAAUAUUGCACAAUGGGCGCAAGCCUGAUGCAGCCAUGCCGCGUGUAUGAAGAAGGCCUUCGGGUUGUAAAGUACUUUCAGUGGGGAGGAAGGCGACAUGGUUAAUAACCUUGUCGAUUGACGUUACCCACAGAAGAAGCACCGGCUAACUCCGUGCCAGCAGCCGCGGUAAUACGGAGGGUGCAAGCGUUAAUCGGAAUUACUGGGCGUAAAGCGCACGCAGGCGGUCGAUUGAGUCAGAUGUGAAAUCCCCGGGCUCAACCUGGGAACUGCAUCUGAUACUGGUCAGCUAGAGUCUUGUAGAGGGGGGUAGAAUUCCAUGUGUAGCGGUGAAAUGCGUAGAGAUCUGGAGGAAUACCGGUGGCGAAGGCGGCCCCCUGGACAAAGACUGACGCUCAGGUGCGAAAGCGUGGGGAGCAAACAGGAUUAGAUACCCUGGUAGUCCACGCUGUAAACGAUGUCGACUUGGAGGUUGUGCCCUUGAGGCGUGGCUUCCGGAGCUAACGCGUUAAGUCUACCGCCUGGGGAGUACGGCCGCAAGGUUAAACUCAAAUGAAUUGACGGGGGCCCCACAAGCGGUGGAACAUGUGGUUUAAUUCGAUGCAACGCGAAGAACCUUACCUACUCUUGACAUCCAGAGAACUUUGCAAAAAUGCUUUGGUGCCUUCGGGAACUCUGAAACAGGUGCUGCAUGGCUGUCGUCAGCUCGGGUUGGGAAAUGUUGGGUUAAAUCCCCCAACGAACGCAACCCUUAUCCUUUGUUGCCAGCGGUUAAGUCGGGGAAACCAAAGGAAACUGCCCGGGAAAAAUCGGAAAAAAGUGGGGGAAAACUCCAAUCACCUAGGCCCUUACAAUAAGGGUUACACCUGGUCAAAUGGCGUA
rnacentral:rRNA from 1 species